AUUGAACGCUGGCGGCAUGCUUUACACAUGCAAGUCGAACGGUAACAGGCCGCAAGGUGCUGACGAGUGGCGCACGGGUGCGUAAUGCAUCGGAACGUGCCCAGUCGUGGGGGAUAACUACUCGAAAGAGUAGCUAAUACCGCAUACGAUCUAUGGAUGACAGCGGGGGACCGUAAGGCCUCGCGCGAUUGGAGCGGCCGAUGUCAGAUUAGGUAGUUGGUGGGGUAAAGGCUCACCAAGCCAACGAUCUGUAGCUGGUCUGAGAGGACGACCAGCCACACUGGGACUGAGACACGGCCCAGACUCCUACGGGAGGCAGCAGUGGGGAAUUUUGGACAAUGGGCGCAAGCCUGAUCCAGCAAUGCCGCGUGCAGGAAGAAGGCCUUCGGGUUGUAAACUGCUUUUGUACGGAACGAAACGGCUCUGGUUAAUACCCGGGGCUAAUGACGGUACCGUAAGAAUAAGCACCGGCUAACUACGUG
rnacentral:rRNA from 1 species